rnacentral:rRNA from 1 species
GACAGAGGGUGCAAACGUUGUUCGGAAUUACUGGGCGUAAAGCGCGUGUAGGCGGUCCGGUAAGUCCGCUGUGAAAGUCGGGGGCUCAACCCUCGAAUGCCGGUGGAUACUGUCGGGCUAGAGUGCGGAAGAGGCGAGUGGAAUUCCUGGUGUAGCGGUGAAAUGCGCAGAUAUCAGGAGGAACACCAAUUGCGAAGGCAGCUCGCUGGGACGUAACUGACGCUGAGACGCGAAAGCGUGGGGGAGCAAACAGG